UCCGUAGGUGAACCUGCGGAGGGAUCAUUACAAGUGACCCCGGUCUAACCACCGGGAUGUUCAUAACCCUUUGUUGUCCGACUCUGUUGCCUCCGGGGCGACCCUGCCUUCGGGCGGGGCUCCGGGUGGACACUUCAAACUCUUGCGUAACUUUGCAGUCUGAGUAAACUUAAUUAAUAAAUUAAAACUUUUAACAACGGAUCUCUUGGUUCUGGCAUCGAUGAAGAACGCAGCGAAAUGCGAUAAGUAAUGUGAAUUGCAGAAUUCAGUGAAUCAUCGAAUCUUUGAACGCACAUUGCGCCCCCUGGUAUUCCGGGGGGCAUGCCUGUUCGAGCGUCAUUUCACCACUCAAGCCUCGCUUGGUAUUGGGCAACGCGGUCCGCCGCGUGCCUCAAAUCGACCGGCUGGGUCUUCUGUCCCCUAAGCGUUGUGGAAACUAUUCGCUAAAGGGUGUUCGGGAGGCUACGCCGUAAAACAACCCCAUUUCUAAGGUUGACCUCGGAUCAGGUAGGGAUACCCGCUGAACUUAAGCAUAUCAAUAAGCGGAGGA
rnacentral:rRNA from 1 species